UACAGAGGCCUCGAGCGUUAGGCGGAAUCACUGGGCUUAAAGCGUGUGUAGGCGGACUUCUAAGUACCUUGUGAAAUCCCACGGCUCACCCGCGGAACUGCUCGGUAUACUGGUCGUCUUGAGCCUUCUAGGGGCGAGUGGAACAAAUGGUGGAGCGGUGAAAUGCGUAGAUAUCAUUUGGAACGCCAAUGGUGAAAACAACUCGCUGGGGAAGUGCUGACGCUGAGACACGAAAGCCAGGGGAGCGAACGGG
rnacentral:rRNA from 1 species